rnacentral:misc_RNA from 1 species
AAGUCGUAACAAGGUUUCCGUAGGUGAACCUGCGGAAGAAUCAUUGACGAAGACUUGGGCGCCCGCGCCCUUCUCGUCGUCCACCCUGUGCAUCGAGACUUUUUUCGCGCUCCAAAUGUCGAGGAUGAUAACGAAAUUAAAAUGGCACAAAAUGAAGCAACGGAUCUCUUGGCUCUC